rnacentral:misc_RNA from 1 species
UUAUCUUAUGUUCUUUACCUUUGACUAUAAUACCGUAUGGCUAGGAUCUCCGCACACAGUAAAAAUAGAUAUGGAGCAAUUGGAUCUCCUUGUCUGCAACCUCUCUGUAUGUCAAAAUGAUCAGACAGAUAUCCACAAUGCAAAAUAGAUGCUUUAAAGUUUGUAUUUAGUCUUAUCCCAGCUAAUUAUAUUUUUUCCAAACCCCCCAAAAUGCAAAACUUUGUAAAUAAACUCCCAUGCAAUAGAAUUAAAUGCCUUUUCCAAAUCUAUGAGAACAAGUAAGCCAGGAAUUUUUAAUUACUCUGUAUAUGCCAUAAGGUCAUACCGGUAUAUAAACCUUGUGUUUUCACCUAUGUAUCUGCCUUUCAUAAAACCAGACCUUGUUUCUGAAAUAAGAUAAUCAAGGGUAGAUCUUAUUCUAUAACUAAUGCAUCCUGAGAGAAGUUUAUACAUGACAUUUAGCAAGUUAAUUGGGCGCCAAUUUUUAAUAUGUUUUUAACUUUUUAAAAUCAGUAUACUACGGCAAUACAUUUUGCUCUUUCCAUGAAAUAAAAAAAACCUUAUUAUUGUUUAUUUACUCCAUACAAAAGGGUAUUACUAUGCAUGAUUUUUUUCACAUCAAUUUCCUGCGGAUAAAGCAUUGUUAAUAAUCUGUCAUUUUCUUGUUUAAAAAAUGCAUUAAUUAUUAUUUCAGGCCGACAACGCCAUGCUAGCACUAGGCGCUGUAGUUGUGUUUGGCAUAGUUGCAGAGUUCUUUAGAAAGAAAAAGGAUUAGUAAAGGGCCUCUUCGUUUUGAAGAGAGGAUUGCUAUACAGUUAUGACUUCAUUAUUAAUUAUGCUUCUUUAUUCUAUAUUAACCAUAAUGAGUCAUUUAUAAUUUUUUAUUACGACUUUUACUUAGUCAUGAUUCUUCUGUGAUAUAAAUUUGCUGUGAUUGUAAAUGUAUAAUUAUUCCAACCCUAAAUCAACAUUUAAAAAAAUAAUAUAUGUCCAAACGGUAACGAGUUAAAUUAUAAUUUCCUCAAGCAGCCAAUGUCUUACGCAAACCAUUUUUCAGAAAUAUAUGUAGUAUAGUUUUGAAAAAUGCAUAUAUAAAUCUUAUUUAUUUAUUUAUAUAUUUUUUUAUUCUUUUACUUUUUUUGUUUUUAACUAUGUUGAGUAUAUGAAAUUAACCCAUUUUACUUGCAUGUAUGUAUAUAUUUUGAAAACAUUUAUGUUCGUUUCAAACAUCUUACUUAGUGCCAAAUGAAAGUAAAAUAAUUAAAAAGAAC